AGCUCCAAUAGCGUAUAUUAAAGUUGCUGCAGUUAAAAAGCUCGUAGUUGCAUUUCCGAGGCAAGGGAUUAGUCCGACCUUUGGUGGGUAUUUAAUCUUGCCUCGUCCUUGAGUGGUGCUUCUUGGUAUUAAGUUAUCGAGGAGAUAGCCGCUCAUCGUUUACUGUGAGAAAAUUAGAGUGUUCAAAGCAGGCUUAUGCCGUUGAAUAUAUUAGCAUGGAAUAAUAAGAUAGGACCUCGGUACUAUUUUGUUGGUUUGAGAACCAAGGUAAUGAUGAAUAGGGACAGUUGGGGGUAUUCGUAUUCAGUUGUCAGAGGUGAAAUUCUUAGAUUUACGGAAGACGAACUACUGCGAAAGCAUUUACCAAGGAUGUUUUCA
rnacentral:rRNA from 1 species